CCUACGGGGGGCUGCAGUGAGGAAUAUUGGUCAAUGGACGAGAGUCUGAACCAGCCAAGUAGCGUGAAGGAUGACUGCCCUAUGGGUUGUAAACUUCUUUUAUAAAGGAAUAAAACGAGGCACGUGUGCCUUUUUGCAUGUACUUUAUGAAUAAGGAUCGGCUAACUCCGUGCCAGCAGCCGCGGUAAUACGGAGGAUCCGAGCGUUAUCCGGAUUUAUUGGGUUUAAAGGGAGCGUAGACGGGUUGUUAAGUCAGUUGGGAAAGGUUGCGGCUCAACCGUAAAAUUGCAAUUGAUACUGGCAGUCUGGAGUGCAGGUGAGGUAGGCGGAAUGCGUGGUGGAGCGGUGAAAUGCUUAGAUAUCGCGAAGAACCCCGAUUGCGAAGGCAGCUUACUAAACUAUGACUGACAUUGAUGCACGAAAGUGUGGGUAUCAAACAGGAUUAGAUACCCGAGUAGUC
rnacentral:rRNA from 1 species